GGCCUGUUGGUGAAAUUGGUUAACACAUAACCCUCUCAAGGUUACAUUCACGGGUUCGAACCCCGUACAGGCUA
rnacentral:tRNA from 1 species